GGGCGAGUGGCGGAAUUGGUAGACGCACUGGUUUCAGGUACCAGCGAUCGCAAGGUCAUGAGAGUUCGAUUCUCUCCCCGCCCACCA
rnacentral:tRNA from 1 species